ACACGUGGGUAACCUGCCUUAUAGUGGGGGAUAGCCUUUCGAAAGGAAGAUUAAUACCGCAUAAGAUUGUAGUAUCGCAUGAUAUAGCAAUUAAAGGAGCAAUCCGCUAUAAGAUGGACCCGCGUCGCAUUAGCUAGUUGGUGAGGUAAUGGCUCACCAGGGCGACGAUGCGUAGCCGACCUGAGAGGGUGAUCGGCCACAUUGGGACUGAGACACGGCCCAGACUCCUACGGGAGGCAGCAUG
rnacentral:rRNA from 1 species